rnacentral:lncRNA from 1 species
GCAGAAAAAUGUAUUUCGUCUCCGAAAAAGUGAAGCGAAACUGAGGAAUAGCCUUGCUCGCCGUUUCAAACGCUGCUCUCUCGCCUCUGCCAGUGGGCAGGCCAGAUGUCUUGUAAAAUGGAGCAUGGUAGCUAGGAGAAGACUGAUCGUUAUGUUUCAGAAGGCUCAUGAAAGUUUGAAAACGAAAUGUGAAAAAUGGGUCGAUGUCGCUGAAAAUUAUAGUGCGCCUGCCGAGUUGGGUCAGAGAGGUGAAGCUUUGUUAGGUGUUAGGAAACACUCAUCGGCGACGGAUCCAUUUUUCGUUGAUACUGCAUACAAGGCUAUCAAAUUGAGAAUCAAAAGGACUCAAAUGAAAAGCCCUCUACGAAAGCGUGUAGGCAUAAGGAGGAAUCGCGAGGUAAAAAAUCUCGUGCCCUUCCCUUCUUUAAAUGUCGAUGAAGAGGGAAAAGUUAGAAAUAUUUUCCCGGAAACACAACCGCUCAAAAAGUCUCUCCGAUGGGACUGCAGUGCGCUUUGCAAUACGAAUGAUAGAACCGCUAUCAGAAAAGUUGGCAAAGUUUUCAGAAGACUGAAACAAGCCACUCUAGGACAGAUGGUUCAUUUCCUCGUAGGCAUGAACGAGUGCAGGAACACAUGUCACCUCAGUUGCAAGAAAGGACAUUCCGCAGUUUGCAGAAUGACCGAUGGCAACGGCGCCCCGCUGGUUGUACUUCAGAAUCUUAUGUCUCAUUACCCUCAUGUACGCACUGCUGUUCGAUCGCUGCAAAAUAUGAAGAAAAUUUUGUCCGAGAUCGACUAUUUAGAUACUGCUCUAUACACAGCUGACCGGGAAAAGUUAGAGGCCAUAGCGGAAAAAGCUAGGCUCCAAGGAGGCGAAUUCACAAUCGGCGGUGACACUUACACCGAUGAAGAUGGCAUUUACAUGCAGUUUAAAAAAUGUUUUGCAGCUCUCGACAAUGCGAUGGAUGAUCUUCCUAGUAAUUACUGUUUUUCGUGUGAAAAAAUACUCAAGCGAGAUCAGCUAAUCGAAUUGGAUAGAAUGAAGUCCAUACCCGACAACCAUUGGUGGAAUGAGUUGUAUAAAAAAGGCGAAACCGGUGUUUGCAUAGAUUACAUCUGCAAAUUUUG